rnacentral:tRNA from 1 species
UGGGCAGUAGCUCAGUCGUAGAGCUCCCGCUUCAUAUGCGCGACGACCUGCGUUCGAUUCCCGGCUGCAUAC